GCGAAAUUCCUUGUCGGGUAAGUUCCGACCCGCACGAAAGGCGUAACGAUCUGGGCACUGUCUCGGAGAGAGGCUCGGUGAAAUAGACAUGUCUGUGAAGAUGCGGACUACCUGCACCUGGACAGAAAGACCCUAUGAAGCUUUACAGUUCCCUGGGAUUGGCUUUGGGCCUUUCCUGCGUAGCUUACGUGGAAGGCGAAGAAGGCCCCCUUCUGGGGGGG
rnacentral:ncRNA from 1 species